UACAGAGGUGGCAAGCGUUGUUCGGAAUUACUGGGCGUAAAGCGUGCGCAGGCGGUUAUGUAAGACAGUUGUGAAAUCCCCGGGCUCAACCUGGGAACUGCAUCUGUGACUGCAUAGCUAGAGUACGGUAGAGGGGGAUGGAAUUCCGCGUGUAGCAGUGAAAUGCGUAGAUAUGCGGAGGAACACCGAUGGCGAAGGCAAUCCCCUGGACCUGUACUGACGCUCAUGCACGAAAGCGUGGGGGAGCAAACAGG
rnacentral:rRNA from 1 species